CGCAUGCGUAAAGAUUCGGCGCAAAGCAUGCUGGAAGAUGGCUUUCUGGGAAUUGUAGUUUCUUAGGGCUAAUCUCCAGGAGUGGGUUAUUUAAAAAGGGCGAAGUGGGGAGAUGGGAUUUUGCAUCGAGGGAAGAGGAGUGUGUGCGUGUGUGAGUGAGAAACAAGAAAAGAGCAAGUGAAGGAUUCUAAGAGCUGGAUCUCCAGUUAUUAAGGAGACUUGACUCAUCAACCCUCUUGUGCUUAACGCAUACAAAAAGCUUUUUGGAUAACCUGAACUUUUACUGUAUUCUCCAAUUUCUUAUUAUUUUAUUUAUUUAUUUACUAUUUAGCACAUUUAUAUGCCUCCUAAAACUUGUGUCUCGGGGCAGUUUGCAGUAAAAUAGAAAUUAAAACAAAAUUAAAAUGUUGAAACAUUAAAAAAAUUUAAAAUUUAA